ensembl:lncRNA
AAAGGAGUGGGCUGAAACGGUGGGAGAGGAUGAGAAGGGAAGAGGGCARGAAAAAUAUGCGAGUGUGAGAGGUUCAAAGACAUUCCUCUGCUUCUUCGGCCUCCUGUGCCUGCGCUGGCUCAGCCAGUGCUGAGGCCGUGAAGACCYCUCGUAAUCUGCAUUUCCUUUUCCUCUUUCACUGGGAAUGGAAGAGUCGUGUGCGCUGACCUCAGAGGCAUUGCUGGAGGCGGAAAGGGAAGAUGCAGACGAUUCCAGAGGAAGUUCAGCCUUGAAGUUCAGCGCUGGGAUAAUGAGCAAGACUCCUUAGCCCCGCUCCCUUUGCGCUACGAGGAAAAGGCACACUACAGCCUGCUUAACUCUUUCACUUCCAGGAGCGAGUGAGGACUCUGGUAAUAGGGAAACGAAAGGAGCAUUCUCCAUGAAAAGCCCAUCUGUUCUGUAUUUAUGAGGGGGCAUGAGGUACCAAGGAUACAGCAGUAAAAUGGAAAUCUGUCCUGGGUACAUUCGUACACCUUUCCUCUUCCAGGAUAUGUCAGAAGUUAAUGUUAACUGUACAACUGCUGCAAAUAGGUUUCUUGAUGGACUUCCCUGCAGAGAAUGAACUGAUGGUGUUGGAAUGAAAUCUGCGUUUGUGUCUGGUGGGGAGACGAACAGGGGAUAUUAUGGGGCUUUGUUCUAGGCUCUCUGAGUAAUUCAGACCUCUUCCUUUUUAUUUCAUUCUUGCUGUAACGGUGAAUUUCCCCUAGUCAUUUGCUUGAGCUGGACACAUCAGGGCAGGGCUCGAGGUAAAGCCGAUGCUUCAUGGACCCUCACAAGAGUUAUAUGUGACCAGUAGCAUGCAGGGAUGGUGUGCUGGGACCUGUGCCAAGGAGGUUGAAUGGCCACUGACAGCUUCACAGUGGCAAAGGAUAUAGACCCAGAAUAAUUAAGCAACUGUGUCUUGCUGCUGCUCAUGACAGCUUCCAGAUGCUGCUGUAAAUGAUUCCAGAUGUGUUCCGCCGAACUGCUGGCUGCUGUGAGCACCCAGGCAUUGGUGGGGUGAGGGCUACAUCCCGCUCCAGGGAUGCCUGUGACAAAACUGCCUUUCUCCCUCUGAUUUCCCAUGGACUUGGGUCGUGGGGAUCAUGCCGGCAUCGCUCAGAAGUGUACCCAAAUGGCAGAGCCUUUUACACGUCCCUCCGGUUUCCUUGGCUUGAGAUAACGCUCUUGACUCACGUUGCGGCAGUAAGAGGUUAUGCUCGCUUGCUGGCCCUGAGAUUCUGCUCUGAAGGAUUGCCAUCUGGUGGCCUUGUGCUGGAAAGCCACCGCUACAGCCAGGGAUGGAGUGGCACUUUGCACCGCUCGGUUUACCUGUGCACAUCGCCGCUCCACGUCCCCUCUGGGGCAGGCACUGGUGCUGAACCCUGGCAGGACAGAAGCGCCUCUGCCAGCGCCAGGCCAGCCAGACUGGGGAGCGAAGCUGGAUGUUUCAAAGUGGCUUUUCAGUAAUGAGCGUAYUUUUUAGAGCUGAUUCAUCCUUGCUCUGUGUGUGUGCACACGUAAGCAUUUGCAAAAUGGUAACUUGUUUUUUAAAACACUCUAAUAAACACACACAAAACUAAGUAUCA